rnacentral:rRNA from 1 species
AGCGAACGCUGGCGGCAGGCCUAACACAUGCAAGUCGAGCGCCCCGCAAGGGGAGCGGCAGACGGGAGAGUAACACGUGGGAACGUACCCUUCAGUUCGGAACAACCCAGGGAAACUUGGGCUAAUACCGAAUACGUCCGUAAGGAGAAAGAUUUAUCGCUGAAGGAUCGGCCCGCGUCUGAUUAGCUAGGUUGGUGGGGUAACGCUCACCAAGGCGACGAUCAGUUAGCUGGUCUGAGAGAAUGAUCAGCCUCACUGGGACUGAGACACGGCCCA